rnacentral:rRNA from 1 species
GUGGGGUAACGGCCUACCAAGGCGAUGACGGGUAGCUGGCGUGAGAGCGCGACCAGUCACACUGGGACUGAGACACGGCCCAGACUCCUACGGGAGGCAGCAGUGGGGAAUAUUGCGCAAUGGGCGAAAGCCUGACGCAGCGACGCCGCGUGGGGGAGGAAGGCCUCAGGGUUGUAAACCCCUGUCAGGUGGGACGAACCCCGGAUCGAGUAAUACACGGUCCGACUGACGGUACCACCAGAGGAAGCUCCGGCUAACUCCGUGCCAGCAGCCGCGGUAAUACGGAGGGAGCUAGCGUUGUUCGGAAUUACUGGGCGUAAAGGGCGCGUAGGCGGUCGGGUAAGUCGGGUGUGAAAUCCCGGGGCUCAACCCCGCGAACUGCAUCCGAUACUGCUCGACUUGAGAGAGGUAGGGGCGAGUGGAAUUCCCGGUGUAGCGGUGGAAUGCGUAGAUAUCGGGAAGAACACCGGUGGCGAAGGCGGCUCGCUGGACCUUUUCUGACGCUGAAGCGCGAAAGCGUGGGGGGCAAACAGGAUUAGAUACCCUGGUAGUCCACGCCGUAAACGAUGGGUACUAGGUGUUGGGAGGAUUGACCCUUUCAGUGCCGACGCUAACGCAUUAAGUA